GAGCCCGCCUGCAGCCGACCGCAACCCAAAGGCUCUUUUCAGAGCCACUUAAGUUUUACCAAGAAGGAGCCGUUGCGCUUUACAUAUUGAAAAACGCACGGUGUUCCGUGUAAGCGUCGGCGUCCCGAAUCACGUUCUCCAGGAACACCUCGAGCGGGUCUCGGCAAUUUCUUUAGGAUCUAGCAAGAAGGUGAACCUGGACCCCAGUCAGAACCAAAGAAGAAUGCUCCCUCUGUGGAACGAGAACCGGGUUGAGAAGCCCAUCUUGCUUGGUGCUGAGACCCAUCACAUCCCUUAGGACCAGCAGUGAGCCGGCCCUUCCAACUCUGUGGUCGGACUCCUUUGUAACAUCAACGUGAAAUCCAGGAUGGCAUCAUCUAGAUCGGGGGAAGGCUCAGACGAAAUUCCUCGGUGCGAAUGCUCAAGCAGGAUUCUUCGUGACUGGAACAGCUACGGCCUGAAGGUACAAGCCGCGUGUCUUCCCACAGACAGGCAUAGGAAGCAGCGGCUAAGCUCUGUACACCCUCCCAGGCAGAGAGAACACAGCCAGGGACACACUGAUCCACAGCAAUUCCAGAAGCCAGUGGGCACAUGCUGCCACUUGAUUGGGACUCAGUCGUACUGUCUGGGAACUGUCCUCCCGGGCUCUUGGCGUCACCCUCCCAAUCAUCCAUCCUGUUCAUGCGACAUUUCUCUUACUAAGUCUCCCUCCCAUCGCGGUCUGGGAGGCUCAGGGUCCUCUUUUCAUUUCGUGCUGUCCCCCUUCCCUUUGCGUUCCAGUUGUCAGUGUCACCACUGUGCUCUUGACACCCCUGCGAUGUCACGAAUGCUGUUGGAACGUCUUCCCUUAGAUCUGGAGCCCGCAAACUCUGACCCGCAGGCCAUAUCUGGCCAGCUCCCUGUUUUUAUACAGUUUUAUUGGAACAUAGCCACACUUUUCUCCUAUUAUCUGUGGCCACUUCCCUGCUUCAACAGGAGAUGUGAGUCGUUUCAACAGACCCUGUGUGGCCACAAAGCCUAAA